CAAUAGCGUAUAUUAAAGUUGUUGCAGUUAAAAAGCUCGUAGUUGGAUUUCUGGUGGGAGCGAUCGGUCUGGCGCUUAGCGCGAGUACUUGCAUCGUCUCCGGCCAUCCUUGGGGAGAGUCUGUCUGGCAUUAGGUUGUCGGGCAGAGGAUCCUCAUCGUUUACUGUGAAAAAAUUAGAGUGCUCAAAGCAGGCUUAUGCCGUUGAAUAUAUUAGCAUGGAAUAAUAAGAUAGGACUUUGGUACUAUUUUGUUGGUUUGCGCACCAAAGUAAUGAUUAAUAGGGACAGUUGGGGGUAUUCGUAUUCCGUUGUCAGAGGUGAAAUUCUUGGAUUUACGGAAGACGAACUACUGCGAAAGCAUUUACCAAGGAUGUUUUCAUUAA
rnacentral:rRNA from 1 species